UACGGAGGGUGCAAGCGUUAUCCGGAUUCACUGGGUUUAAAGGGUGCGUAGGUGGGCAGGUAAGUCAGUGGUGAAAUCUCCGGGCUUAACCCGGAAACUGCCGUUGAUACUAUUUGUCUUGAAUAUUGUGGAGGUAAGCGGAAUAUGUCAUGUAGCGGUGAAAUGCUUAGAUAUGACAUAGAACACCAAUUGCGAAGGCAGCUUACUACACAACGAUUGACGCUGAGGCACGAAAGCGUGGGAUCAAACAGGA
rnacentral:rRNA from 1 species